rnacentral:rRNA from 1 species
UGGGGAAUUUUGGACAAUGGGCGAAAGCCUGAUCCAGCAAUGCCGCGUGUGUGAAGAAGGCCUUCGGGUUGUAAAGCACUUUUGUCCGGAAAGAAAUCCUUGGCUCUAAUACAGUCGGGGGAUGACGGUACCGGAAGAAUAAGCACCGGCUAACUACGUGCCAGCAGCCGCGGUAAUACGUAGGGUGCAAGCGUUAAUCGGAAUUACUGGGCGUAAAGCGUGCGCAGGCGGUUUGCUAAGACCGAUGUGAAAUCCCCGGGCUCAACCUGGGAACUGCAUUGGUGACUGGCAGGCUAGAGUAUGGCAGAGGGGGGUAGAAUUCCACGUGUAGCAGUGAAAUGCGUAGAGAUGUGGAGGAAUACCGAUGGCGAAGGCAGCCCCCUGGGCCAAUACUGACGCUCAUGCACGAAAGCGUGGGGGAGCAAACAGGAUUAGAUACCCUGGUAGUCCACGCCCUAAACGAUGUCAACUAGUUGUUGGGGAUUCAUUUCCUUAGGUAACGUAGCUAACGCGUGAAGUUGACCGCCUGGGGAGUACGGUCGCAAGAUUAAAACUCAAAGGAAUUG